GGGGUGUAGCUCAGUUGGGAGAGCACUUGCUUUGCACGCAAGGGGUCGCAGGUUCGACUCCUGUCAUCUCC
rnacentral:tRNA from 1 species